CUUUCUCUUCAGAGCUGAGCAGUUGAAGUAAUAAUUGGGAAGGAGCAAUUAUCAUGGGUUGCUGUAUGGGAAGAAAGCAACGUUCUGCGGAACAAAUUGAGGAGUUGGAGAGGAUCCGUUCUCAGCGUGCGACAAGGAGCAGGGACAGCACAAGGAUGAUCACGAUCACGAAUCCUAUUUUUUGCAGUACCUUGGUCAAAAAUGCAGAUGGUUCAAAGCCACUGGAAUUUGAUGAGCUGCGAGAUACAACCUGGAGGUUGAAUAACAGCAGAUACGCUAGGAGCACGACAAGUAAGAAGCUCAAAGGGUGUCCUAUGUGCUUCUCGGAACAAUGAUUUUGUAACGUUCAAGUUAUCCACUGGAAUCUGAUUCUUAUGCGAUGCAAACAGGAGUCACUGACGCCGAAAAUUCACAGGCAGAUUGUUUGCUUGAUUCUCAUCAUCUUACUGUAGUGGUUCGAGUUGUUCUUCGCUUUGCUACACGCAUCACCUCUGGAAUGUGGCAAUGCAUCACGCAAACCCUUUCAUUUCCUUUUCAAAAUCGUUGAUUCGUUUCUUGUGUUGCUAUAUCCGUUUUUGGAAAUGUGACGAGUGUCGUUCACCUCGCGCCCUUCAUUUAUGUGCAUCUUGAUUUUCUUUUGUACAACUCUGCAUUAUUAUGUAUUGUCCUUCGCUUCCAUGACGUCAUACUGCCACUGGGGUGAUACACCCGGUUUUUCCCCUCAUAACAGUGCACUGCGUCCGUCGGCGCGAGGGUUUUUUCCCGGCUGGCUCGGUCCAGGUAAAUUUAUCUGACGGCCCCAGUGGUAUUGUGGCAUAUCAUAUUUUUCGAAUUGGCUUGCAAACAUUUUCGUUAUUUUUCACUUGAUAUUCUGUUCUCAGUCCUUUUUUCUGGAUUCUCUUGCUAUCCGAUUCGCUCUGUCUGCCACCAA